rnacentral:snoRNA from 1 species
AGGAUGUCGGUUUCAAUUAAACGCUGACCGCGUGAUUUGCCUUCUGCCUGACU